GGGUAAGUCCUACACGGCCAGCUCCCCGCCAACUCCGUCAGAUCUUGACCGAAGCAGCGGUAACGGGUUGAGCGGCGCGAUGUAGAUAGCUUACCCUUU
rnacentral:SRP_RNA from 1 species